AAGAUGGUACUUUCAGGAACCAUUUCUAUAGUCCAUUACUAGAGAAGCUUCUCUGAACAUGUAGAGCACCAGAAACCAUGAGGAGGAGGAGCAGCAUUCUCCUCUGAGCGUGAAGUCGACUCAGUGGUGUUUCACUGCAGCUGCCAUUUGUCAUUGAUGAUGGUUCUUUUCUGCUGAGCUAAUAGAGGGAGAGAACUCAGUCUGAGUGGU
rnacentral:snoRNA from 1 species